CUCAGCAGUAUAUUAAUAAUUAUAUCAAAACAAGAACAUUGAAGUAGGAAAGAAAACGAUUGAGUGGCACAAUAUGUUGCAACGGUAGGAUUAAUGUUAUUAAAAUUCUCAAAAUGUUUUAAAUUGUUUAAAUGUUGAUAAAGUAUUGAUUAUAGUGAGCGGUCCAUUCGAAUGACGUCGUAGGCCUGACGCGUAUUAAUAUAUCCACGUGGUUGAUCGAAACGGAGUCUUCGAUACAUCACUAUAUUUAUGGAAGGGUUGAACAUUUCCGACAUCUCUUCAACGACUGUUUUGUGUGCUUGAGUCGUGGUGCAAAAAUAAACCCUAUUUUCGUAGGUCGUGGGUUGUACGAAGUGACUGAUGGAGCGUAACUAAUGCAACAAUAAGCAGACGCACAGGCCUCAUUUAAUGCUGUUCAGCGCGGAGGGCGAGUCUUCUCACGCACGUACCGUAUAGCCGUAUAAUUCUAUGAAUGAACAAUUAACAUAAUAAUCCAAGACGAAUUUAAAAACAUAAAAACCAUAGCAAAAAAUAACAUAGCAUUAUAGAAGCCAUACAACACAAUAUUUAAGUCCUUAAUGUUCUUCAAAAUAAAUGAUUGGCAACAAAAACAUCUACAGGCCCGUUCGCUAGCAGAUAUGCACACAGGGACAAAAAGAGGUGAAGUUAGAGAGAGAGAGAGAGAGAGAGAGAGAGAGAGAGAGAGUAAAAGAGACAGGAAAAAGAGGGAGAGAGAAGAGAGAGGAAGAGAGAGAGGUUGAGGAGAUAGGGAGGGAGUAAGCUCUGCAGUCAGGGCACCAAGAAUGAGUCAGAAGAGAUAGCAUCUACACAACGGGUACUUGGAGAUCCAACCAAGCUGUAAACACACAAACCCUUUCCUGUAUCUCGGACAAAAUAUAUAAAAACAUAUGCUUUAUUGGAUCUCUCCCCAAACAUAAACCUCAGAUAACCUUAUUAUCAGCCUACAGAAAUGAUUCCCACUUUGUAUAUGCAUAUUCGUGUGUCACUGUAGCAAACUGAAAAAUGGGAGAAUCUUAUUGGAAAACUAAAGACAAUAGAGGGGAAAAGAUAUGAGAGAGAGAAAAGGAGAGAGAGAGAGAGAGAGAGAGAGAUAGUGAAACAGAGAGA
ensembl:lncRNA